rnacentral:rRNA from 1 species
UACGAAGGGGGCUAGCGUUGCUCGGAAUCACUGGGCGUAAAGCGCACGUAGGCGGCUUUUUAAGUCAGGGGUGAAAUCCUGGAGCUCAACUCCAGAACUGCCUUCGAUACUGAGAGUCUUCGAGUUCGGGAGAGGUGAGUGGAACUGCGAGUGUAGAGGUGAAAUUCGUAGAUAUUCGCAAGAACACCAGUGGCGAAGGCGGCUCACUGGCCCGAUACUGACGCUGAGGUGCGAAAGCGUGGGGAGCAAACAGG